GAUGAACGCUAGCGGCAGGCCUAAUACAUGCAAGUCGAGGGGCAGCAGGAAUAGCAAUAUUCGCUGGCGACCGGCGCACGGGUGCGUAACACGUAUACAAUCUGCCUUUAACAGGGGGAUAGCCCGGAGAAAUCCGGAUUAAUACCCCAUAACAGUGAUCUUGGCAUUAAGGACACUUAAAAGCUCCGGCGGUUAAAGAUGAGUAUGCGUCUGAUUAGCUAGUUGGUGAGGUAACGGCUCACCAAGGCGACGAUCAGUAGGGGAUCUGAGAGGAUUAACCCCCAAACGGAUACUGGGACACGGAUCCGACUCCUACGGGAGGCAGCAGUAAGGAAUAUUGGACAAUGCCCGCAAGGGUGAUCCAGCCAUGCCGCGUGCAGGAAGACGGCCCUAUGGGUUGUAAACUGCUUUUACACCGGAGAAAACCCCACUACGUGUAGUGGGCUGAUAGUAUGGUGAGAAUAAGCAUCGGCUAACUUCGUGCCAGCCGCCGCCGUAA
rnacentral:rRNA from 1 species